rnacentral:ribozyme from 1 species
UGCCCAGCAACUCCUACCCCUACCUCUGCGUGGUACCGACUGGAAACUACGAACAACCUUAGGGAAGAUCGGGUAUUGGUCGUGGGCUGACAGGGAAGG